rnacentral:rRNA from 1 species
UACGGAGGGGGCUAGCGUUGCUCGGAAUUACUGGGCGUAAAGCGCACGUAGGCGGCUUUGUAAGUUAGAGGUGAAAGCCCGGGGCUCAACUCCGGAAUUGCCUUUAAGACUGCAUCGCUAGAAUUGUGGAGAGGUAAGUGGAAUUCCGAGUGUAGAGGUGAAAUUCGUAGAUAUUCGGAAGAACACCAGUGGCGAAGGCGAGUUUCUGGACGGUAACUGACGCUGA